AGUCGGUUGGGAAGCCUGGAGCUGAGCAAAGCCCGGCCAAGUCAAGCAUACAUAUGUAUCUAGAUCGCCAGCUGAAUAAACACGCUAGCAUCUAAACAGUUGGCCCAAUAAUGUUUACUCGUGCGGGGAAAGCACCGCAGCUAUGGGGCUACAAAUGAAAGGGGUGUAUUGCCGAGAAGGUCGUUUUUUAUUAUUUUCAAGAUCGCUGUUUUGGGCCAGUAAACGGGGACUUUUUUUGCAGCUAUCUCAAGUGUGCUCGCCAAGCAAAAGCAAAAGUUCAAGAAAAGCUAUAAUCGUAUGAAGCCUUGUUCGGUGUGAAGGCGUUAUAACGGCAAAUCGUGUGUAUUAUCAGAUAUGACACGGCGCAGUUACAGCGCACACAAAUGGAGAAAUUGUGCGAGCCCAGGAAAAAACCCCCUCGAUCACAACCCAUAACCCAUCAAAACUGUUACCACCUGCAGCCACUAUCUAGCACGCGUCUAAUACCGGUACUAAAGCCCCACCGACCAAAAAAUCACCGAUGCCAGAUGUUUUAUCUUUCAUUAAGAUCGAGGCGUUGCUUUGUUGUGUUUCAUGUUCUGGAUCGAAAUAAGUGAACGUUAUGUACUUGUUCUGACAGAUACUUUAAUACUUUUGAUGGGGUGUUAAAAGCAUUAAUAUUGCAUAUGUGUCAGAUAACAAGAUAAUGCAUUUAUUAUUAAU
ensembl:ncRNA lncRNA:CR44748 long non-coding RNA:CR44748